AUUCGGCCGACGAGUCCCAAAUGGAAUGAAACGCGCGUCCUGGAU
rfam:Schistosoma haematobium scaffold280_9, whole genome shotgun sequence.